CGAAAACGAAUUCUCUCUUGAGUGGAUCCUGAGUACGACGGAGCACGUGAAAUUCCGUCGGAAUCUGGGAGGACCAUCUCCUAAGGCUAAAUACUCUCUAGUGACCGAUAGUGAACCAGUACCGUGAGGGAAAGGUGAAAAGUACCCCGGAAGGGGAGUGAAAGAGAACUUGAAACCGUGUGCUUACAAGUAGUCAGAGCCCGUUAAUGGGUGAUGGCGUGCCUUUUGUAGAAUGAACCGGCGAGUUACGAUCUGAUGCAAGGUUAAGCAGAAAAUGUGGAGCCGUAGCGAAAGCGAGUCUGAAUAGGGCGAAUGAGUAUUUGGUCGUAGACCCGAAACCAGGUGAUCUACCCUUGGUCAGGUUGAAGUUCAGGUAACACUGAAUGGAGGACCGAACCGACUUACGUUGAAAAGUGAGCGGAUGAACUGAGGGUAGCGGAGAAAUUCCAAUCGAACUUGGAGAUAGCUGGUUCUCUCCGAAAUAGCUUUAGGGCUAGCCUCAAGUGAUGAUUAUUGGAGGUAGAGCACUGUUUGGACGAGGGGCCCCUCUCGGGUUACCGAAUUCAGACAAACUCCGAAUGCCAAAUAAUUUAACUUGGGAGUCAGAAUGUGGGUGAUAA
rnacentral:rRNA from 1 species